rnacentral:rRNA from 1 species
GGGAUUACCUCAGUAACGGCGAGUGAAGCGGUAACAGCUCAAAUUUGAAAUCUGCCGCAAGGCCGAGUUGUAAUUUGUAGAAGAUGCUUUGGGUAUGGCCCCGGUCUAAGUUCGUUGGAACACGACGUCAUAGAGGGUGAGAAUCCCGUAUGUGACUGGGUGCUUUUGCCUAUGUAAAGCUCUUUCGACGAGUCGAGUUGUUUGGGAAUGCAGCUCAAAAUGGGUGGUAUAUUUCAUCUAAAGCUAAAUAUUGGCCAGAGACCGAUAGCGCACAAGUAGAGUGAUCGAAAGAUGAAAAGCACUUUGGAAAGAGAGUUAAACAGUACGUGAAAUUGUUGAAAGGGAAGCGCUUGCAACCAGACUUGCACGCUGUUGAUCAUCCAGGCUUCUGUUUGGUGCACUCAACUGCGUUCAGGCCAGCAUCGGUUUUGGUGGUGGGAUAAAGGCCUUGGGAAUGUAGCUUCUUUCGGGGAGUGUUAUAGCCCUCGGUGCAAUGCCGCCUACCGGGACCGAGGACCGCGCUUCGGCUAGGAUGCUGGCGUAAUGGUUGUAAGCGACCCGUCUUGAAACACGGACCAAGGAGUCUAACAUCUAUGCGAGUGUUUGGGUGUCAAACCCAUACGCGUAAUUAACGUGAACGGAGGUGAGAACCCUUAAGGGUGCAUCAUCGACCGAUCCUGAUGUCUUCGGAUGGAUUUGAGUAAGAGCAUAGCUGUUGGGACCCGAAAGAUGGUGAACUAUGCCUGAAUAGGGUGAAGCCAGAGGAAACUCUGGUGGAGGCUCGCAGCGGUUCUGACGUGCAAAUCGAUCGUCAAAUUUGGGUAUAGGGGCGAAGACUAAUCGAACCAUCUA